rnacentral:misc_RNA from 1 species
AAAUGCGAUAAGUAAUGUGAAUUGCAGAAUUCAGUGAAUCAUCGAAUCUUUGAACGCACAUUGCGCCCGCCAGCACUCUGGCGGGCAUGCCUGUUCGAGCGUCAUUUCAACCCUCAGAACCCCUUGCGGGAUCUGGCGUUGGGGAUUGGCAUCCAGCCAGCCCCGAAAUCUAGUGGCGGUCCCUCCGCGACCUCCCCUGUGCAGUAGCGAUACCUCGCAGCGGGACAGCGGUCUGACCACGCCGUAAAACCCCCAACUUCUCAAGGCUGACCUCGAAUCAGGUAGGAAUACCCGCUGAACUUAAGC